CCGCAGCCCCAGCUCCCCAGGCCUAUGGCAGCCACGACACCCAGUACUGCAGCCCCAGGACCUAGUACUGCAGAACCAGCACCCAGUACUGCAGCCCCAAGGUCCAGUACUUCAGACCAACAUCCAGUGCUGCAGGCCAGGCGGUCCAGGGCAG